rnacentral:tRNA from 1 species
GCCUCCGUGGUCUGGUGGUUAGCGCAACUAGCCACUAACCCAGAGGUCCCGGGUUCGAAUCCCGGCCGGGGCG